rnacentral:rRNA from 2 species
AACUGCGAAUGGCUCAUUAAAUCAGUUAUCGUUUAUUUGAUAGUACCUUACUACAUGGAUACCUGUGGUAAUUCUAGAGCUAAUACAUGCUAAAAACCCCGACUUCAGGAAGGGGUGUAUUUAUUAGAUAAAAAACCAACGCCCUUCGGGGCUCCUUGGUGAAUCAUAAUAACUUAACGAAUCGCAUGGCCUUGCGCCGGCGAUGGUUCAUUCAAAUUUCUGCCCUAUCAACUUUCGAUGGUAGGAUAGUGGCCUACCAUGGUGGCAACGGGUAACGGGGAAUUAGGGUUCGAUUCCGGAGAGGGAGCCUGAGAAACGGCUACCACAUCCAAGGAAGGCAGCAGGCGCGCAAAUUACCCAAUCCCGAUACGGGGAGGUAGUGACAAUAAAUACUGAUACGGGGCUCUUUUGGGUCUCGUAAUUGGAAUGAGAACAAUUUAAAUCCCUUAACGAGGAACAAUUGGAGGGCAAGUCUGGUGCCAGCAGCCGCGGUAAUUCCAGCUCCAAUAGCGUAUAUUAAAGUUGUUGCAGUUAAAAAGCUCGUAGUUGAACCUUGGGCCUGGCUGGCCGGUCCGCCUCACCGCGAGUACUGGUCCGGCUGGGCCUUUCCUUCUGGGGAACCUCAUGGCCUUCACUGGCUGUGGGGGGAACCAGGACUUUUACUGUGAAAAAAUUAGAGUGUUCAAAGCAGGCCUUUGCUCGAAUACAUUAGCAUGGAAUAAUAGAAUAGGACGUGUGGUUCUAUUUUGUUGGUUUCUAGGACCGCCGUAAUGAUUAAUAGGGAUAGUCGGGGGCGUCAGUAUUCAGCUGUCAGAGGUGAAAUUCUUGGAUUUGCUGAAGACUAACUACUGCGAAAGCAUUCGCCAAGGAUGUUUUCAUUAAUCAGGGAACGAAAGUUAGGGGAUCGAAGACGAUCAGAUACCGUCGUAGUCUUAACCAUAAACUAUGCCGACUAGGGAUCGGACGGGAUUCUAUAAUGACCCGUUCGGCACCUUACGAGAAAUCAAAGU